AGCAGCCGCGGUAAUCCCAGCUCCAAUAGCGUAUAUUAAAGUUGUUGCAGUUAAAAAGCUCGUAGUUGAACUUCGGGGUUUACCCAUUGGUCAGGCUUAAUUGUCUGUACUGAUGAGAUGAAUCUCUACCUUCUGAGGAACUUUCAUGCCAUUUAUUUGGUGUGAUGGGAAAUCAGGACUGUUACUUUGAAAAAUUGAGUGUUUAAAGCAGGCUAACGUCUGAAUACAUUAGCAUGGAAUAAUGAAAUAGGACGGACUGAUUCUAUUUCGUUGGUUUCUAGGAUCACCGUAAUGAUUAAUAGGGAUAGUUGGGGGCAUUAGUAUUCAAUUGUCAGAGGUGAAAUUCUUGGAUUUAUUGAAGACUAACUACUGCGAAAGCAUUUGCCAAGGAUGUUUUCAUUAAUCAAG
rnacentral:rRNA from 1 species